rnacentral:rRNA from 1 species
UGCAGAAUCCCGUGAACCAUCGAGUCUUUGAACGCAAGUUGCGCCCCAAGCCGUUAGGCCGAGGGCACGUCUGCCUGGGUGUC